UACGUAGGGGGCAAGCGUUGUCCGGAUUUAUUGGGCGUAAAGAGCGUGUAGGCGGCCUGACAGGUCUGCUGUGAAAACUCGAGGCUCAACCUCGAGAUGUCGGCGGAAACCGUCUGGCUAGAGUCCGGAAGAGGAGAGUGGAAUUCCCGGUGUAGCGGUGAAAUGCGUAGAGAUCGGGAGGAAUACCGGUGGCGAAAGCGACUCUCUGGACGGCAACUGACGCUGAGGCACGAAAGCGUGGGGAGCAAACGGG
rnacentral:rRNA from 1 species